rnacentral:rRNA from 1 species
UGGGGAAUCUUGCGCAAUGGGGGAAACCCUGACGCAGCGACGCCGCGUGCGGGAUGAAGGCCUUCGGGUUGUAAACCGCUUUCAGCAUGGACGAGGCCUUAUGGUGACGGUACCUGCAGAAGAAGCUCCGGCUAAAUACGUGCCAGCAGCCGCGGUAAUACGUAUGGAGCAAGCGUUAUCCGGAUUCAUUGGGCGUAAAGCGCUCGUAGGCGGUCUGUUAGGUCGGCAAGUUAAAUCCGGGGGCUCAACCCCCGUCCGCUUCCGAUACCGGCAGACUUGAGUUUGGUAGGGGAAGGUGGAAUUCCUAGUGUAGCGGUGGAAUGCGCAGAUAUUAGGAAGAACACCGGUGGCGAAGGCGGCCUUCUGGGCCAUAACUGACGCUGAGGAGCGAAAGCUAGGGGAGCGAACAGG